UCUCCAGCUGUUUCUGGACUACAGUCCCCAUCAUCCCUGACCGCUGGUCCAGUUAGCGAGGGAUGAUGGGAGUUGUAGUCCAAAAACAGCUGAGGA